rnacentral:rRNA from 1 species
UAACACGUGAGCAAUCUGCCCUUAAGACCGGAAUAGCCCAGGGAAACUUGGAUUAAUACCGGAUGUGGAGGAGUCAGGCAUCUGACUUCUUCCAAAGCUUGUAACGGCGCUUAAGGAGGAGCUCGCGGCCUAUCAGCUAGUUGGUGAGGUAAAGGCUCACCAAGGCGACGACGGGUAGCUGGUCUGAGAGGAUGGUCAGCCACACUGGGACUGAGACACGGCCCAGACUCC